rnacentral:rRNA from 1 species
AGUGAACGCUGGCGGUAGGCCUAACACAUGCAAGUCGAACGGCAGCACAGAGGAGCUUGCUCCUUGGGUGGCGAGUGGCGGACGGGUGAGGAAUACAUCGGAAUCUACUCUGUCGUGGGGGAUAACGUAGGGAAACUUACGCUAAUACCGCAUACGACCUACGGGUGAAAGCAGGGGAUCUUCGGACCUUGCGCGAUUGAAUGAGCCGAUGUCGGAUUAGCUAGUUGGCGGGGUAAAGGCCCACCGAGGCGACGAUCCGUAGCUGGUCUGAGAGGAUGAUCAGCCACACUGGAACUGGGAGACGGUCCAGACUCCUACGGGAGGCAGCAGUGGGGAAUAUUGGACAAUGGGCGCAAGCCUGAUCCAGCCAUACCGCGUGGGUGAAGAAGGCCUUCGGGUUGUAAAGCCCUUUUGUUGGGAAAGAAAUCCAUCUGGUUAAUACCCGGGUGGGAUGACGGUACCCAAAGAAUAAGCACCGGCUAACUUCGUGCCAGCCGCCGCCGUAA